rnacentral:rRNA from 1 species
GUAGGUGGCAAGCGUUGUCCGGAAUUAUUGGGCGUAAAGCGCGCGCAGGCGGUCCUUUAAGUCUGAUGUGAAAGCCCACGGCUCAACCGUGGAGGGUCAUUGGAAACUGGAGAACUUGAGUACAGAAGAGGAAAGCGGAAUUCCACGUGUAGCGGUGAAAUGCGUAGAGAUGUGGAGGAACACCAGUGGCGAAGGCGGCUUUCUGGUCUGUAACUGACGCUGAGGCGCGAAAGCGUGGGGAGCAAACAGGAUUAGAUACCCUGGUAGUCCACGCCGUAAACGAUGAGUGCUAAGUGUUAGGGGGUUUUCCGCCCCCCUUAGUGCUGCAGCUAACGCAUUAAGCACUCCGCCUGGGAGUACGGCCGCAAGGCUG